rnacentral:lncRNA from 1 species
CAACAAGAGACUAUAUACUACUAUUAUAAAUCCAGCAAAGGUCAACAAAGCAAAAAGUGGCCGUACUCUCUCUCUCUCUCUCUCUCUUAUUGAGGAAAAAGAUCAAAGAAGAUAAUAAUAAUAGAGUAGUAGUAGUAGUAGUGUGUGUAGGAGACGGUGCACCGCGCAAGACACAGGUGGUUCGCUUCACUCACUUCUACUUGUCGUCGCGUCGGUGCACUCUUACAAAAGCAAACCCCCGCGUCUUCUUCUUUUGGAAUCUUGCGGCUUCCUUCUUUCUCUUUCGG